UUCCAUCGUUCUUUGUCAGGAUGUCUUCUUGAGCGCACAUCUAUUGUCGCAUCCUACGAAGAGGUCUGUUACAACUUUGGUAGAUUGAGUUAUCCCGCCUUGAUUUCGGCACGUCUUGUGUUGAAUAUCUCGUUCAUCUCGUCGUUUUGACGAAGAACAUCCAGGGAUUUUGUGUUUCGUUUUGAGUUGAAUGUCGAGGAUGGCGCUUCUGCGAACCCAUCAAUUCAGCAGUCUCGACUUUCUUAGUAACGCUUCAUACAUGC
rnacentral:snoRNA from 1 species